rnacentral:rRNA from 1 species
GAUGAACGCUAGCGGCAGGCCUAAUACAUGCAAGUCGAACGGUGGUAGCAAUACCAUAGUGGCGCACGGGUGCGUAACACGUAACUAACCUACCUAUAACUGGGGGAUAGCCCGCCGAAAGGCGGAUUAAUACCGCAUAAGCUUGUGAGAUGGCAUCAUCUUAUUAGUAAAGAUUUAUUGGUUAUAGAUGGGGUUGCGGGUCAUUAGCUAGUUGGUAAGGUAACGGCUUACCAAGGCGACGAUGACUAGGGGAGCUGAGAGGCUGGUCCCCCACACGGGCACUGAGAUACGGGCCCGACUCCUACGGGAGGCAGCAGUAGGGAAUAUUGGGCAAUGGGCGAGAGCCUGACCCAGCCAUGCCGCGUGCAGGAAGAAAGCUUUCUGAGUCGUAAACUGCUUUUGACAGGNAAGAAUAAGGCUUACGUGUANGCUGAUGANCGUACCUGCAGAAUAAGCACGGCUAAACUCGUGCCAGCAGCCGCGGUAAUACGGAGGGUGCGAGCGUUGUCCGGAUUUAUGGGGUUUAAGGGUGCGUAGCGGCCCGUUAAGUCCGGGGUGAAGCCCGUUGCUCAACAACGGAACUGCCCUGGAUACUGACGGGCUUGAGUACAGACGAGGUUGGCGGAAUGGACUGAGUAGCGGUGGAAUGCAUAGAUACAGUCCAGAACCCCGAUUGCGAAGGCAGCUGACUAGGCUGUUACUGACGCUGAGGCACGACAGCGUGGGGAGCGAACAGGAUUAGAUACCCUGGUAGUCCACGCCGUAAACGAUGGAUACUCGCUGCGAGCUAAAGAUUGUUCGUGGCUUAGGGAAACCGAUAAGUAUCCCACCUGGGGAGUACGCCGGCAACGGUGAAACUCAAAGGAAUUGACGGGGGCCCGCACAAGUGGUGGAGCAUGUGGUUUAAUUCGAUGAUACGCGAGGAACCUUACCUAGGCUAGAAUGCGCGUGACCGGCUCAGAGAUGAGCCUUUCCUUCGGGACACAAAGCAAGGUGCUGCAUGGCCGUCGUCAGCUCGUGCCGUGAGGUGUUGGGUUAAGUCCCGCAACGAGCGCAACCCCUAUGGUUAGUUGCCAGCACGUAAUGGUGGGGACUCUAGCCAGACUGCCUGCGCAAGCAGUGAGGAAGGCGGGGACGACGUCAGGUCAUCAUGGCCCUUACGCCUAGGGCGACACACGUGCUACAAUGGACGGUACAGCGGGUAGCUACUGGGCGACCAGAUGCCAAUCUCGAAAAGCCGUUCUCAGUUCGGAUCGGAGUCUGCAACUCGACUCCGUGAAGCUGGAAUCACUAGUAAUCGCGCAUCAGCCAUGGCGCGGUGAAUACGUUCCCGGGCCU